rnacentral:lncRNA from 1 species
AGCGAGCGCGGAGACAGGCGGCGGUCCAGAGGUCUUGAAAAGGCCCUUUAAACAGAUCCGGGCGCAGAGGUGAGCCGGUCCGGGAUCCCUAGCAAGCUAUGCAUCUUGUUGGUGUUGAAACCGCGGCAGUAAAACGUAUGCUACAACAUAAUUAUCAGUGUGAAGUAGAAUCAGAGACUAUGAAAUCAAUUUCACCUGAAACACUGAAGAGGCCUACUACUGAAGCCCCGGCUGGGGAACGACAGCAGGGGAAAAAAUAAAAACCACGCUGGGU